UAUCCCCCCUACUCUACCUCCUUCAAUGAACAAACGUUCAACAUCUUCAGAGCUUUCUUCAAUGGAAAGAAUCGGGUGUUUCCGAUGACAGACACGCUCCACCCCGUCGGAGUCGAGGGAGGAUGUUGGGAGUGGGAGUCCUCUGGAGGGGUCGCUAGUGCUCGUGGUCCUGGUCGGCUGUUGACACUGUCAAUUUCAUUUCAAGCUUUUCGCCCUUUCUUUUUUCUUUGUGUAUUUAUUUUUACUCGUUUAUGUCUUCUCUCUUCGUUCGAAAGCCCAACAUCGCGCACAAUCUCCGGCUUUGGAGGAAGAAGUAACGGACGCCGCUGCAGAACAUUGUUGACUGGAAGCAUCCGUCUGGAUCUCGGCUGCUACUUCCCAAUAUUUAUUAUUAUUUUUUUAGUUCCCACAACGCCCCCUCUUUUCCUCGGCUAUCUCCCCACACUUACCAGAUUUAUUUGGACGUAGAAUAACGUCGAUAUUGUUGUAUUAAACUUGGUUACAAGUUGCUAUGGGCUAACCAAGCUAGCAUCUUCGAAUCACAAGCAACAAGAGGACUCUUUAUUGGCAUCCUCUGUGCUUUUAACACAGCGGUGUGUGAGUCCACGCUCCUCCAUGCCUCCGUUGGCAUCCGAUGGAAGAUAAAGUAUCGACCGGCUCCGCCAUGGUUUCAAGACUGCCCAAGUUUGGCGGGCGCUCGACGAGUGGCGGCGCCGGCUCCUUGACCAACGGUUCGUCUUCGCAGGAUGCCAAGACUGGCGCGUGCCCGAGCGGCGCCAUUCGAACUUCUCCCUUUUCCUUGAAAUGGAGGAGAGAUGAAGGGACAGCCCCCUCCAGCCUGAGCACCCUGACCAGCCCUGGGGACGGGGGCAAGGAGAAGACGAGACAACUCCCCCCAUCGGCAAAGGAAGGAAAGAGCGCCUCCCCGGGAACGCCGAUAAUGCGCAGGUCAGGUCCAUUGGCGGUGGCGGCCUCCAGCCCCAAAGCCCCCCCGAAGCAACCCCUCAAAGUACCUCCCAAAGACGGCAUCAAGUUAGGCCAAAGCUCACUCAACGGCGCACCCAAAGCAGACCGCGGCGACACCGAGUCCCGCCCAUCACGGCCCAAGUUAUCCUCAGGAUCGCCGACAAGCGACUCCCGAGACCGCCUUUCGCAGUCCAGCGAAAGCCUGAAGACCCUGGAACUGGACAAGAUGGUGCGCUCAAACAGUUUCACGCACUUCAAGCAGAUUCCGUCUCCCAACAGCCAGCCCAUGAUCCGCUCCUUCUCCUUCAACCGGGCCGUGGAACUGGCCAAACCUCUGGCCAACACUCAGCUUCGACCGCCUCGGAGUAGUUUCCUCAAACCCCCUCAACUCGGCAACGGACGCUUACGUUUAGGACUCGGGGCUCUCCGUGUUGGCCAAGGGGGGUCGGGAUCUUCUGGCGGCGUUCAGUACAGCCGAACAACUGCGGCUGCUUCCUCGCUCCCGACGCCGGCAGCGCCCUCCGCUCCCUCCGCUCUGAAAAAACCGCUGCUCUCCACUUGCGGUUUGAACAAGUUAUUGGGGAAUAGUCGCGCGUCUUUGGGCUUCAAGCAGCCGAAACCCGCACAGGCCAAGCAGCAAAAGACCAUCCUCCCGGCUUGGGUUAAAGGAGCCGUCAAACCUUCAUCCGUCCCUCCGUGUGGUGAUCCCGAACCCGGCGGAAAGGAUGAAGAAGCGGAUGGUCGCUGUGGCGCUGAUCAACGGAUCGUGGAUGGAGGAGAAAAAGACAAAAGCGGCGUGCUGGCGCCAAGCUCGGAUGAGGCGGUCGCGGAUGGUCAGGAAGACAUGUCCCUGUCUUCCGCUUCAUCCCUCGGCCAAGGAAACACCAGUGAAGACUUUUUAGAUGACUUGGACAGUUUGGGGGAUGUUUUCAGUGACGGGGACCCUCACGACAACAAGAAGAUAAAUAGUGUUCUCAACGAGACCAAUGACUGGGAGCCGGCAGGCCAUGAUGAAGAAAGCCCAAUGCAAGACUCCCAGGGAGCACUUGUGAAGUCGCCGGAGACGGGCGAUGUCUGCCAGGCUUCAUCUUUGGAGCUGUCACCCUCCAACAGCUCCGGGGGAACCUACAUGUGGGACGAAGAAGGUCUCGAACCACUUUCAGGGCCUGGCACGUAUCUGUGCGAUCCGUACGACGACUCCGAGCUCAACAGCAUGGAUAUUCUGAACAAUCUGCACGGCCCAGGCGUGGAAGAGGUGGAUGACGAUGACCUCAUGCUGGAUGUGGAUCUCCCAGAGGAUGGUUUGCAUGACUUUGACAGGAUGUCCAACGGUGUAAGCGGGCCCCGUCGACAGGGACAGCGCCGCCGACACCACCGCUGGAAUGGAGCUGACCACUCCCCCAACGACGGCAGGUCACCGUUUUCCCAUCACUACGACAGCCUCAAGUCUUCAAGGAUGUCUUUACCGGCCGCCCCCUCGGAAGCGAGGCGACAGGGCCGCGCGCCCGCGCCUGUGCACGAUGAGUUGUCGCUGGAGCACAUGAGCCAAGACUGCACCUUGGUCAAGAACCAGCUGCUCAGGCUGAAAAACCUACUGCAGCUCGAGGAUCCGGACUCGCCAGCAGAUGUUGCGGGCGAGAUUGGAAGCAAGACCAAUAGUGUAUCCCAGUUUGAGGAGCUGCUGAAGGAGGUGCACAUGCUCCGAGAAGAACUUCGGAGUCGAGACAAAACCAUUGUUCAGCUCACUCUGCAGUGUCAGCAGCUGCAGCAGCAUCAGCGGGAACAAGUGCUGGCCCGAGAACGUCAGGUGCGGUGCCGGUGUCAACAGCAGAGGGCGCCCUCGCUACUUCGACAGCCGGCGGACAAGCUACCGCAACGCCCCUGUGACAAGGCCACCCAGACCCACUGGAGACCCCCCACUCACGCCGUGAGUCCACAUAACCACACUCAGCUUCAAAUACCUUUCAACCUCAGCGAGCGUUUCCGCCCGGGAAAGCCGGUAAAAACUCUCCCCACCGAGGACCGCAGUGACCCGACGAGGGACGCGGGGGCCUAUUUUGACGCCGCCGCUCCUCUUGACGGCCCCGCGUCAGACGCGUCUGCGCCGGCGGACCCGCCGCAGCUGAGUCACCGCCGCGGCAUUCAGUGUCCAAGCUCAGGGUUCCGGCGUGAGCGGAGGGCCCCCGCGGCCACAUGGCGUGACCCGGUUGCCGCCGCGUCCGUUCACGGCGAGGGCACGUCACAUGCCGCCGUCCGGCCGCUCAGACAGUCGUCGUCCUUAAAGCCGUCGGCCAGGCAGCUGCCCCCUCCGUCCAGAGGCCUCCCUUGCUUUCACGUCGGCCCCCGGCAGCAACUCCCCGGCCCUUGUCGCACCUCGCCACUUCUGCCUUGCGGGAUCUCGGAACCCCCCCCCCCUUCCCCCUCCCGGCCGGUCCUCACGGUGACGCCAACCGGGGAUCGCUCCAGGAGACGGCCAACAUGAUCGGCCCUUCGGGGCGCUUGAGUCUCCCCCAAGCCAAAGGUUCCCUGAGGAGAGCGUCACGCCGCACGUCGAACCAAAAGAGGACAAGAGGCCGCCCGCUGAAUAUGUACAAUAUGUAGCAAGACGACUCAACUCCACAGCCUCGCGUCCCCGCAUGGCGAGCAGCGGUGUGUUAAGAAGAGCCACUGACAGGGACUCUGCUCUCUUCACUGUCGGGGCCGCGUGACCGCUCGCCUCUGUACGCCUCUGGCACGGACCGCUCGACUGCGUCCCCUCCACAUAGACACACACGCAAACACGUCCAUGCGCCGUGAUACAAUGAGAACGGACGUGAAGGGGAACGCGCAUACACGAACACGGACUCCCCCCGCAGACACAUCGAGUGCAACCUCUGAGAGCCCAACGCAAUCUGUUUGUCGCUUAAUUGCAGGGCACAUAUUGACCACUAGAGGGAGACUGACAAUAGAUUUGUAUUUAUGAUUAUUUUAUUUGUAGUCGACGCAAAGCUGUUCAAGUUGAGUCGACGUCAGCCGAUCGAUGAUGUCUUUGUUAACUUUCCGUUGCUGUCGGCGCAAAACUGCUUGUUUUUCCUCCAAAGUAGCGCAAGCUCACUUUCCUUUGGCUCGCUCGUCCAGUCAUAUUCUGACAGCCUCCCGCCCACACAGCCUGACCUAACUUAUAAAAAAAAAAAAAAAAGACUACAGGGUUGCUCAUCGUUGCCAUACUAGAAUUUUAAAAACAUCACAAGAGGGAGAGAAGACCUUGUAAUUCUGUAUUGUAGCGAUCCGGCAAUUGUGUUACCAGGAUUGUUGUUCGAGGGACAGACAAACCGGGACGGAGAGCCAACUUAAAACAUCAAAGUGGAAGCGCUUUGGAUAGCGAAGGUCGGGUGAGGCCAGUGGGGCGAGGAGACGAGCGUGAGGUGGAAUAUGUUUGUUUGGACACGACGUGUUCCGGCGGGUGGGAGGGAGUGGGAGUGCCGCCCCCCCGCGGAACCCCGUCCUCACCCCUCUUGGCCGUGUCGCUCAACGCUCGCGAAUGCCAUCCCAGAAAUCAAUGCGGCGCGUUUGUGUGUGUCAAAGAUGCGUCUGCCCGCACAGCGUGAAGGCAAACAUGGCGCACGGCAAAAACGCCGAGCCGGCGCCGUCCUUCUCCCCACCGCGUGCCCACUCCUCCAGCCCUAAUCUCCAAAUCGAUGCCCUCGCUCAGUAGAAAAGUACGGCCAAUCAGUCCGGCUCCCGCCGAAAGCCCCACCGCCCGAAAAAAAAACAACUGCGGCACUGUGGAUCAAUUCUCACACAGGAGUUAAGUUAACUCUUGUUUUGGACUGUUUUAUGUUACUUGUGUUAGCGUCUUUUGCACAAGGAGGAAAGGCACCAGAGGAAGUUCGUGUCAUGUUAUGUAACCCUGCAAUUGAAGCAUAUUUGCACUUUUCAAGCUUUCCUUUGACCUCAAAUUGGCUGCGGAAAAGUCACUGCGGUGUGCGGACUGCGCACGCCUCAUUUGAUUUCACGGCCAAGAAAUGUCAGUUGCACCCGCCAAUGCUGACAGAUUUGUGAUUCAGGUGACUCCAGUGAUAUAGUGCUGCCUCCAUGAGUGAAAAUACAAAUAAUGCUUUUUACUUUGUCUUUAUGGGGGCUUGUGAUAGACCAGGGGUGUCCAAACUUUUUGCCAAGGGGGCCAGAUUUUAUGUGGUAAAAUGUCGGGGGGCCGACCUUGGCUGACAUUCUUUACAUUGAACAACAAUAUUGUUCAACAAAUUUUAGUAAGCCAGUCUGUUUCACAUUUCCAUUUUUAUUUUAAUUUCAACAAUCUUAAGAAUUUCUUUUGGUUCAUUUGAAACGGGAAUUUGAAAUAUGACAUAUCAGUCAAUAUACACACGGAGUGAUGUCUUGUUAACUCGUGAGUGAUGCCCUCUAGUGUCUAAAUGCUAUUACUCAUUUAGUGAAUGCUAUUACUCAUUUAGCCACUAGAGGGAAGCAGUACUCUAUGAAACAUCACUCACCAGUCUACGAGACCUCAGUCAAUGCAACACGUGUUCCAUUGCGCCCAACCUGCGGGCCAGACGGCACUGAUUUUAUGACAGGGGCCGAGGGCCGGAUGAAAUUCGACCGCGGGCCGGAUUUGGCCCCCGGGCCGGACUUUGGACAUGUUAACAUUUUUGAUGAACAAAUUUGAUUUGUUUCUUUUACCUUGGUGAUGUUAUAGUUCUUUUCUCAUCUCAUCAAAAUCGAAGACGCGUCAAAAGGUGCCAAAAAGUCACUUGUGUGCCCAUUUUGAAGUGAAACGGAAAGCUUGAAAUGUUCCCUGCAUAUUGGUGUGUUCAAUUCGCACAUCUGCUCGUUUUCAUCAAAAGCCGCGAUAAUCGGCCAACAAACGCAAACACAGGCCAUACCUUAGCCGAGAGCAUUAGUUGACUUGACUUGCAUGCGGCCGCUGGCUGUGCAAUAUCGCGAGAAAUUGACUAACCCCGUGCACUUUAAACAAUAUUUGAAAUGUUAAUUAGAAGGUCUCGCUGCCCUAGUCAUAUGCUGCCCACCAAUGAGAAGGUCAUGCGUGUGUGUGUGUGGGUGUGUGUGUGUGGGUCAUAUUGCGGAAAGAGGACUGUGUUAGACUCUUCGGUGCUUCCACACACACAUUGACUGUAAACGUUACAUAGGAACUCUGCUGGUUCUACCACUGUGGAAAUAAACUAUGAUUUGGAAACAU